CCUACGGGAGGCAGCAGUGGGGAAUAUUGGGCAAUGGGCGCAAGCCUGACCCAGCAACGCCGCGUGAAGGAAGAAGGCUUUCGGGUUGUAAACUUCUUUUGACAGGGAAGAGUAGAAGACGGUACCUGUCGAAUAGGCCACGGCUAACUACGUGCCAGCAGCCGCGGUAAUACGUAGGUGGCAAGCGUUGUCCGGAUUUACUGGGUGUAAAGGGCGUGUAGCCGGGUUGACAAGUCAGAUGUGAAAUCCUGCGGCUUAACCGCAGAACUGCAUUUGAAACUGUUGAUCUUGAGUACUGGAGAGGCAGACGGAAUUCCUAGUGUAGCGGUGAAAUGCGUAGAUAUUAGGAGGAACACCAGUGGCGAAGGCAGUCUGCUGGACAGCAACUGACGGUGAGGCGCGAAAGCGUGGGGAGCAAACAGGAUUAGAUACCCCGGUAGUC
rnacentral:rRNA from 1 species